ACGAACGCUGGCGGGCGUGCUUAACACAUGCAAGUCGAGGGGGGUGGGGCAACCCACUCACCGGCGAACGGGUGCGUAACACGUGAGCGACCCGCCCUACCAGAGGGGGAUAGCCGGCCCAACGGCCGGGUAAUACCGCAUACGCUCUUUUUGGCUAACAUGGCCUGGAGAGGGAAGACCCGAAAAGGGGUGCUGGAGGAGGGGGCCUCGCGGCCUAUCAGCUAGUUGGCGAGGUAAUGGCUCACCAAGGCGACGACGGGUAGCUGGUCUGAGAGGAUGGCCAAGCCACAUUGGGACUGAGAGACGGCCCAGACUCCUACGGGAGGCAGCAGUGGGGAAUAUUGCGCAAUGGCCGAGAGGCCUGACGCAGCGACGCCGCGUGUGGGAUGAAGCUCUUCGGGGUGUAAAACCACUGUUGCCCGGGACGAAACUCCUGCUUUGGCGGGAUUGACGGUACCGGGUGAGGGAAGCACCGGCUAACCUCCGUGCCAGCAAGCCGCCGGUAAUACGGAGGGUUGCGAAGCAGUUGUCCAGAAAUCACUGGGCGUAAAGGGCGCGUAGGUGGCUCGUGAAGGCGUGCGGUGAAAAGUCCGAGGCUCAACCUCGGAUCGGCCGUGCGGACUCGCGGGCCUCGAGCGUUGUAGAGGCGGGUGGAAUUCCCGGGGUGUAGCGGUGGGAAUGCGUAGAGAUCCGGAAGAACAACCGGUGGGCGAAGGCGGCCCGCUGGGCAACUGCUGACACUGAUGCGCGACAGCGUGGGGAGCAAACAGGAUUAGAUACCCUGGUAGUCCACGCCGGUAAACGAUGGGCACUAGGUGCUUCGGGGAGCGACCCUCGGAGUGCCGGCGCUAACGCAAUUAAGUGCCCCGCCUGGGGGAGUACGGCCGCAAGGCUGAAACCCAAAGGAAAAUUGACGGGGGGCCCGCACAAAGCGGUGGAGCAUGUGGUUUUAAUUCGAAGCAACGCGAAGGAACCUUACCAGGCCUUGACCAUCCCGAUCGCGGGUUCCUUGAAAGAGGACCUUUCAGUUCGGCUGGAUCGGUGAACAGGUGCUGCAUGGCUGUCGUCAGCUCGUGUCGUGAGGAUGUUGGGUUAAGUCCCGCAACGAGCGCAAACCCUUAGCCUUAGUUGCCAUCAUUUAGUUGGGCACUCUAGAGAGACUGCCGGUUGACUAAGCGGAGGGAAGGUGGGGAUGACGUCAAGUCCUCAUGGCCUUUAAGGUCCAGGGCCUACACACGUGCUACAAUGGCAGGUACAAACCGGCUGCAAACUCCGCAAGAGGGGAGCCUAAUCGGAAAAAGCCCUGUCUCAGUUCGGAUUGGAGGUCUGCAACUCGACUCCAUGAAGUUGGAAUCGCUAGUAAUCGGCAGAUCAGCAUGCUGCGGUGAAUACGUUUCCCGGGUCUUGUACACACCGCCCGUCACAUCAACGAAAGUGGGUUGUACUAGAAGCGCCAGAGCUAAACUCGCAAGGGAGGCAUGGUGUAACGGUUAUGAUCCAUGAUUGGGGUG
rnacentral:rRNA from 1 species